GGCACCGAAGGAAGUAUAGACUCGGCCCCAAUCUCCCAGACUCUUCUUCCAAAUCGCCCCCAAAUCGAGUCUAUUGUGCCCUCGCCGCCGCCCCCAACCGCGAUGUGCCCUCGCCGCCGCCCUGCAACCACCGCCACUCCGACCAUUGCCGGCGUCGCCCCCAGCACCCCACCGUAGCGCCGCCGAGCACCAACUAACACAGAUCUAAUUCCCCGCCGGCCGGCCCCGUCGCCGAGCCCUUCGCCCCUGUCAAGUAUCCUUAGAUCUCGUCCGCCCUUCGCUGCAUUCCCAGCGCCGCCCAAAUGUGGUCUAUCCAUCCACGCAUUCUCCUCUCGCAGCACCAUCUACUUGGCAUCUCUCCUGAACUGCCGAGAUGAGGCAUGCGCCGGGCUAGGGUUUGGCGCCGCCGGCCUUCCUGGUCGUCCUACUCCGGUGCUUGCUCCUCCGCCGCUGGUCCACCUCGACGUCGUGCUCGCCCAUCAUCCUUUGUCCGUGCUCCCCCAGUUCGUGCUUCUACGGCCUCCCCCUCUUGUACUUCGAGCCUAAGAAUCACAGGUCAACAGAUGUUGGUGUUCAAAUUACAGGAGACAGGAGACACUCGCAGUUUGGCUGUGUCCAUGCUGCUGCUUUUGCCUAAGAUGGAUUCAAUUAAUUGAGAUGGAGGUGGAUUAUAAUACUUUGGUGAUAAUAACACCAGCCUUACAGCCAUAUCAUUUACAAAUAACUCCAUAAGGUAAUGUAAUAAGUUCCUUCUUGGAAGAUGUUCUUUUGAGAUCAAAUGUCUGGCAGGCAUUAUCUGUCUCUGCAUGUUGCAGAUUCCAAUGUAUAUCUUGAGAAAGAAGUUUGCUUGAGGAACAAAGUAUUUUCCCAUAAGAUGUUUAUGAAUUACUUAUGGCAAUGAAUCAGAGUUUGGAACCACAUGCUUAUUCAUUGUUAGUAUUGGCCUGAAACUUAAUAUAUAACUACCACUCUGCUUCUGCAGUUUUGAAAGCUUAGAAUUGUUAAUAUGAUUCAGUUUCUUAAAUUAAAGCUAAUUGUGGACAUCUUUAGUGUCUUUGCCUUAUUAGAAGUGUCAUUUGAUGAUAACGUGCUAGCAUUCAAGUUUUUCUGGUGGUAACACCCUCGUCAUCUUGAGAAGUUCUAUAUUAUUAUUUCCUUAAGAUAUUUGCAAGCCUGUCAAAAUUCCUUCUCAAAAUUCCUGUCAUCUUGUAGUGACAAUCCUCAAGCUGAUAAGGAUUCAAUUUACAUUUUCCUUUUUUUUCGCUGGCUACUACAGUAACUUUGUGCAUGUAACCUGCUUAUACCACUUUCUCUGUACAAGAUAGGUACACCUAGUGGUUACUGUUAAUAUUUGUACAGACUUUUCACACUAUAUUUGGACGAGAAGAUAAGCUUGCUACUGUCAAGAUGAUAGAAAAUGGACAUGGUCUCUACUAAAGAAGAGAUUACUCUAGAGAUGUUACUGUUUUCUCUAGGUUUCAAAACAUAUGCGCUGUUGUAUGUGGCCAUGCGGCUGUUGUAUGUGAUUGUUGUAACACCUUCCUGUUAAUAUUUGUACAGACUUUGCACACUACAUUUUGAUGAGAAGUAAGAUUAGCUUGCUACUUGUUAAGAUGAUAAGAAAUGGACAUUUUCUCUACUAUAGUAGAAAUUACUCUAGAUAUGUUACUAUUGCACUAUAUUGCAGAACAUAGAACAUAUGCGGCUGUUGUAUGCAGUGGUGAAUCUACGGAGUAAAUGUAAGGUAGGCUCAACUGUAAUUAUGCCAUUGAGAUGGGCUGGGAAACAGCAGUUUUGCUGCGCUGGGGUCUAAUCUUUGGUACUAAAAAAGAAAUUACUCUUGUUGGAGGGCAGGCUUAAGCCUGUUAAAGCAUGCCUAGUAGAUCCGCCCCUGGUUGUAUGUGAUUAUUGUAACAUCUUCCUUAAGUUCUGAAUGCAAUAACAUUUUUUGAUCUAUUGCAGAUUUCCCAAAGUUCUGAAUUCUCAAUAACAUCUUCUGAUCUAUUGCAGAUUUCCCAAAGUUCUGAAUGCAAUAACAUCUUCUGAUCUAAUGCAGAUUUCCCAAAGGUACACAAGUUCACUAAGGUUUGGAGGACCUUCAAGUUGCUGAAGAUUUGGAAGACCUACAGUUAAGUUGGUGGAGUGAUAAUGUCAUUUGUCUUGUUUGUUGAACCUAGAGACUUGAUAUGCUCAUUUUGUUGGUUAUUAAGCUCAUUUUGGUUGUGUGGCACACAUCUAGAAACAUAUGUACAUCUCCUUUUGUGGCACUAUUUUAUUUUGGUUGUGUGGCAAACAUAUAUGUACUCCUUUUGUGGCACAACCUCCUUAUAUAUGGACGAAUGAAGUUUUAAGGUUUUCAA